UGAAGCGAGUGGCGAACUGGUGAGUAACACGUGGGGAAUCUGCCCAGAAGCAGGGAUAACGACCUGGAAACUAGAAUGCUAAUACCGCAUAACAACUUGGACCGCAUGGUCCGAGCUUGAAAGAUGGCUUCGGCUAUCACUUCUGGAUGGUCCCGCGGCGUAUUAGCUAGAUGGUGAGGUAACGGCUCACCAUGGCAAUGAUACGUAGCCGACCUGAGAGGGUAAUCGGCCACAUUGGGACUGAGACGCGGCCCAAACUCC
rnacentral:rRNA from 1 species